UACGAGGGGGGCAAGCGUUGUUCGGAAUUAUUGGGCGUAAAGGGUGCGUAGGCGGCUUGACAAGUCUGAUGUGAAAUCUAUGGGCUCAACCCAUAGUCUGCAUCGGAAACUGUCGGGCUUGAGUAUGGGAGAGGUGAGUGGAAUUUCCGGUGUAGCGGUGAAAUGCGUAGAUAUCGGAAGGAACACCUGUGGCGAAAGCGGACUCACUGGACCAUUCUGACGCUGAGC
rnacentral:rRNA from 1 species